rnacentral:rRNA from 1 species
UACGAAGGGGGCUAGCGUUGCUCGGAAUUACUGGGCGUAAAGGGCGCGUAGGCGGCCCUGUCAGUCAGGCGUGAAAUUCCUGGGCUCAACCUGGGGACUGCGCUUGAUACGGCGGGGCUGGAGGCCGAGAGAGGGUGGUGGAAUUCCCAGUGUAGAGGUGAAAUUCGUAGAUAUUGGGAAGAACACCGGUGGCGAAGGCGGCCACCUGGCUCGGUACUGACGCUGAGGCGCGACAGCGUGGGGAGCAAACAGG